AGUGAACGCUGGCGGUAGGCCUAACACAUGCAAGUCGAACGGCAGCACAGUAAGAGCUUGCUCUUACGGGUGGCGAGUGGCGGACGGGUGAGGAAUACAUCGGAAUCUACUUUUUCGUGGGGGAUAACGUAGGGAAACUUACGCUAAUACCGCAUACGACCUACGGGUGAAAGCAGGGGAUCUUCGGACCUUGCGCGAUUGAAUGAGCCGAUGUCGGAUUAGCUAGUUGGCGGGGUAAAGGCCCACCAAGGCGACGAUCCGUAGCUGGUCUGAGAGGAUGAUCAGCCACACUGGAACUGAGACACGGUCCAGACUCCUACGGGAGUCAGCAGUGGGGAAUAUUGGACAAUGGGCGCAAGCCUGAUCCAGCCAUACCGCGUGGGUGAAGAAGGCCUUCGGGUUGUAAAGCACUUUUGUUGGGAAAGAAAAGCAGCAGGUUAAUACCCCGCUGUCAUGACGGUACCCAAAGAAUAAGCCCCGGCUAACUUCGUG
rnacentral:rRNA from 1 species